GACCAGGUCAGGACAAUGCGGGACGUGUGGACAUGCCUGUGUGAAGGCACAUCAGGGCCUCCCAGCUCUGGGUCAGUGUGGUCCAAGUUGCCAGCCGUCUCCCAGGUUGUCUGAAGCCCUCAAAAGGAAGUGCCUAGCCCAGCAGCUCUGGCCACUGUAGAACGAGGCAGGACAGGCCUGUGCUUUGUCCUUGUUUCCAAGAGGUGGCACUGGGCUUCAGCUCACCGCUCAGCAGACCCACGAGGGCCUAGACCCAGCAGGACCUGGGAAUCUCUGGAUCUGCCAAACCACACUCCAAAAUGCUGUGUUGUGUGGGAAGCCAUUCUCGCAUGUGAUUGGGCACCUCCCUGAUUGGGUGUGAGGCAUUCUGCUAAACUGUGUGGAACUAAUCCACACCCCCUCUAGGUGCGAGAGCCCAUCCUGUAGGGGGGUGACUGACCAUUGACCCUGAGACCAAUCACUGACCCUGACCUUGGAAUGCUGUCCCCCUCGACCUUCAUUAGAUGAAAUUUUCCCCUGAAUUUCUUGUUCCCCAAUAAAAGGCCACUCCCUGGCAUGCUCUCUCUCUCCUGCUAGUCCUGAGUAAGCCUCGCUAGCUGUCCCACUGGGUGGCUCGAGGCAGGAGCCAGAGGGAGGGCCGUCUCAGAUCUGGUCAAAGGAAAAGGUAAUCGAGUCUUGUGUGUUUAUUUUGAUCCCACUAUUAACUUCUAUGCUACAAACCUCUUGUAUGAAGCCAGCGUGCU
rnacentral:lncRNA from 1 species